ACCUUAUCAAGAGCGACUGAGGGAACAGGCCCUGUGACGUCCGGCAACCUGCUGUAACAGCAAGGUGCCAAAUCCUGCGGGUAACACCGAAAGAUAAGCU
rfam:Subdoligranulum sp. 4_3_54A2FAA genomic scaffold supercont1.9, whole genome shotgun sequence.